rnacentral:ncRNA from 2 species
AUCCGUCUCGCUUAUACAGGUGCCUCUGGCCUUUGCACGCGAAGGUCGGUGAGGUUAAACGGGAAACCGGUGCGAUGACUUAUAGACAUCAAUGCCGGCACUGCCCCCGCAACAGUAGGUGAUACAUGGCUUUAGAGCCUGUCAUCACGAGUCUGGAACCGGCCUGCAUAACGAGGUACUG